GGCUGAAAUUGCCUUCAUGAAGCCGGAAUUGCUAGUAAUGGCAGGUCAGCAUACUGCCGUGAAUACGUUCCCGGGCCUUGUACACACCGCCCGUCACACCAUGAGAGUUGGGGGCGCCCGAAGCCACUUAGCUAACCCUUUUGGGAAGCGAGUGUCGAAGGUGAAAUCAAUAACUGGGGUGAAGUCGUAACAAGGUAGC
rnacentral:rRNA from 1 species